AUUGAACGCUGGCGGCAGGCUUAACACAUGCAAGUCGAGCGAGCGGCGGACGGGUGAGUAAUGUCUGGGAAACUGCCUGAUGGAGGGGGAUAACUACUGGAAACGGUAGCUAAUACCGCAUAACAUCAGAUGUGCCCAGAUGGGAUUAGCUAGUUGGUGGGGGAAGGGCUAACCUAGGCCACGAUCCCUUGCUGGUCUGAGAGGAUGAACAGCCACACUGGAACUGAGACACGGUGCAGACUCCGAAGGGAGGCAGAAGUGGGGAAUAUUGAACAAUGGGCGCAAGCCUGAUGCAGCCAUGCCGCGUGGGUGAAGAAGGCCUUCGGGUUGUAAAGCACUUUCAGCGAGGAGGCGUUACUCGCAGAAGAAGCACCGGCUAACUCCGUGCCAGCAGCCGCGGUAAUAC
rnacentral:rRNA from 1 species